rnacentral:rRNA from 1 species
GUGCCAGCCGCCGCGGUAAUACGUAGGUGGCAAGCGUUAUCCGGAAUUAUUGGGCGUAAAGAGUGAGCAGGCGGCCGUUUAAGUCUGAAGUCAAAUGCAGUGGCUUAACCACUGUCCGCUUUGGAAACUGGAUGGCUAGAGUACGAGAGAAGUAAGCGGAAUUCCAUGUGUAGCGGUGAAAUGCGUAGAUAUAUGGAGGAACACCAGAGGCGAAGGCGGCUUACUAGAUCGAUACUGACGCUCAGUCACGAAAGCGUGGGUAGCAAAUAGGAUUAGAUACCCUAGUAGUCCACGCCGUAAACGAUGAGAACUAGGUGUAGGGCCAAACCCUGUGCCGAAGCUAACGCAUUAAGUUCUCCGCCUGGGGAGUACGUUCGCAAGAAUGAAACUCAAAUGAAUUGACGG